GCAAUGGAUAGCUCAGUUGGUUAGAGCAUGGUGUUGAUAACGUCAACAAGGUUACAGGUUCGAUCCCCGUAAGGGACAGCUGCA